GUGGGGAAUCUUCCGCAAUGGACGAAAGUCUGACGGAGCGACGCCGCGUGAGUGAAGAAGGCCUUCGGGUCGUAAAGCUCUGUCAUCAGGGACGAACGGCCGGUGGAGUGGAAAGCCACCGGAUUGACGGUACCUGAGAAGGAAGCCACGGCUAACUACGUGCCAGCAGCCGCGGUAAUACGUAGGUGGCAAGCGUUGUCCGGAAUUAUUGGGCGUAAAGCGCGCGCAGGUGGGAUCUUAAGUCCAUUUUGAAAGUUCGGAGCUCAACUCCGUGAUGGGAUGGAAACUGGGAUUCUUGAGUACCGGAGAGGAAAGCGGAAUUCCCCGUGUAGCGGUGAAAUGCGUAGAUAUGGGGAGGAACACCAGUGGCGAAGGCGGCUUUCUGGACGAUGUCUGACACUGAGGCGCGAAAGCCAGGGGAGCGAACGGGAUUAGAAACCCCUGUAGUCC
rnacentral:rRNA from 1 species